rnacentral:tRNA from 1 species
UCCUGUGUGGCUCAGUUGGUAGAGCUUGGUGUUUGCAACACCAGGGUUUUGGGUUCAAUUCCCACGGGGGAC